rnacentral:rRNA from 4 species
UUCGCAAUGCCCGAAAGGGUGACGAAGCGACGCCGCGUGUGGGAAGAAGGCCUUCGGGUUGUAAACCACUGUCGGGAGUUAAGAAAUGCAAGGAUAUGAAUAGUGUCUUUGCUUGACUAAGGCUCCGGAGGAAGCCACGGCUAACUCUGUGCCAGCAGCCGCGGUAAUACAGAGGCGGCAAGCGUUGUUCGGAAUUAUUGGGCGUAAAGAGCACGUAGGCGGCUAUGUAAGUCGGUUGUGAAAGCCUUCCGCUCAACGGGAGAACAGCAUCCGAUACUACAUGGCUUGAGUGCGGGAGGGGAGAGUGGAACUUCUGGUGGAGCGGUGAAAUGCGUAGAUAUCAGAAGGAACGCCGGCGGCGAAAGCGGCUCUCUGGCCCAUAACUGACGCUGAGUGUGCGAAAGCUAGGGGAGCAAACGGGAUUAGAUACCCCGGUAGUCCUAGCCGUAAACGAUGGGCACUAAGUAGAGGGGUUUU